rnacentral:rRNA from 1 species
AAUUUAAAAAAUAAUUUAAAAGAAACACGCCCGAUGUCGGAAGCUAAGCAGGGUCGGGCCUGGUUAGUACUUGGAUGGGAGACCGCCUGGGAAUACCAGGUGUUGUAAAUUU